AUUUGAAAACUCCCCUUGCACCAGGGCUGACUGUAGCUGGGGGAAGACAUUUUACUCAUUUGCUCUUUCCUUUCAUACAGUCAGCUGGUCCCUCUUCUCAGGUGUAGAUCACCUAUUAUAAUUUUACCUAAUUUUGAUACUCUGAUAAGGAAAGUCCCAGGACUUAUCAGCUGGGAUAGGCCUCACUUACAAGACAGCUCUGUUCAGUAUUUGGAAGAAAGCCUGACAGGUUUCUUCGGAAAAGUGGCCAUCCAUGGAAUGAAUGAAAUGUUCUCUUUCUAUUCCAGCCUCCCUACAGCGUUGGCUCAGCUCUAGCUACUUGGAAGGUCGUGGCAAUGCUGUCUCAGAAUGUCCGUUUCUAGAGUACAGAGAAGAAAUUCUAGCUUGACGUCCACGUGCAUUUGUCUGUGUUUCAGAGGAAAUUCCAAUUCUAAACUCUUGGAAGAAACAAUUUCUCGGCAUGCUGAAGAGAAUUGCUGUUUUUUGGCACCUGAAACACUUUUACCCAAGGGUUCUGAUUAUUUAAAUAAUUGGUAUGCUAUAAAUAUUCUGGUUGACAG
ensembl:lncRNA SOX2-OT SOX2 overlapping transcript